rfam:Aedes aegypti strain Liverpool supercont1.38 genomic scaffold, whole genome shotgun sequence.
UGCCCUGCAACUUCUAUCCCUACCUUCUCGUGGUACUGGCCGGGGUACAAGUAACCUUGGGGAAGA